CGUCCUACGGGGGGCAGCAGUGGGGAAUAUUGCACAAUGGGGGAAACCCUGAUGCAGCGAUGCCGCGUGGAGGAAGAAGGUUUUCGGAUUGUAAACUCCUUUUAUCAGGGACGAUAAUGACGGUACCUGAAGAAAAAGCUCCGGCUAACUACGUGCCAGCAGCCGCGGUAAUACGUAGGGAGCGAGCGUUGUCCGGAAUUACUGGGUGUAAAGGGAGCGUAGGCGGGACGGCAAGUCAGAUGUGAAAACUGAGGGCUCAACCUUCAGACUGCAUUUGAAACUGCUGUUCUUUGGGUAAUGAGAGG
rnacentral:rRNA from 1 species